ACCCUUGACAUGUCCGGAACUUGCCAGAGAUGGCUUGGUGCCCGAAAGGGAAUCGGGACACAGGUGCUGCAUGGCUGUCGUCAGCUCGUGUCGUGAGAUGUUGGGUUAAGUCCCGCAACGAGCGCAACCCUUAUCAUUAGUUGCUACGCAAGGGCACUCUAAUGAGACUGCCGGUGACAAACCGGAGAAGGUGGGGAUGACGUCAAGUCCUCAUGGCCCUUAUGGGUAGGGCUUCACACGUCAUACAAUGGUCGGUACAGAGGGUUGCCAAGCCGCGAGGCGGAGCCAAUCCCACAAAGCCGAUCGUAGUCCGGAUUGUUCUCUGCAACUCGAGAGCAUGAAGUCGGAAUCGCUAGUAAUCGCAGGUCAGCAUACUGCGGUGAAUACGUUCCCGGGUCUU
rnacentral:rRNA from 1 species